CACGUAGUUAGCCGGGGCUUCUUAGUCAGGUACUGUCACUUUCUUCCCUGCUGAUAGAGCUUUACAUACCGAGAUACUUCAUCGCUCACGCGGCGUCGCUGCAUCAGGGCUUCCCCCAUUGUGCAAUAUUCCCCACUGCUGCCUCCCGCAGGAGUCUGGGCCGUGUCUCAGUCCCAAUGUGGCCGGCCGCCCUCUCAGGCCGGCUACUGAUCGUCGCCUUGGUGGGCCGUUACCCCGCCAACGAGCUAAUCAGACGCGGGCCCAUCCCAUACCACCGGAGUUUUCCCCCAGGAAGCUAUGCAGCCUCCUGGGCGUAUGCGGUAUUAGCAGCCGUUUCCGGCUGUUAUCCCCCGGUAUGGGGCAGGUUGCCCACGCGUUACUCACCCGUCCGCCACUCAGACAGCUACUCGUUCCUCCCCGAAGGGAACUCCCUGCAGCCGCUUCGUUCGACUUGCAUGUGUUAAGCACGCCGCCAGCGUUCAUCCUGACGCCAGGAUC
rnacentral:rRNA from 1 species